ACUCCUACGGGAGGCAGCAGUGGGGAAUAUUGCACAAUGGGGGAAACCCUGAUGCAGCCAUGCCGCGUGUGUGAAGAAGGCCUUCGGGUUGUAAAGCACUUUCAGCGAGGAGGAAAGGUUAGUAGUUAAUACCUGCUAGCUGUGACGUUACUCGCAGAAGAAGCACCGGCUAACUCCGUGCCAGCAGCCGCGGUAAUACGGAGGGUGCGAGCGUUAAUCGGAAUUACUGGGCGUAAAAGCGUGCGCAGGCGGUUUGUUAAGCGAGAUGUGAAAGCCCCGGGCUCAACCUGGGAACCGCAUUUCGAACUGGCAAACUAGAGUCUUGUAGAGGGGGGUAGAAUUCCAGGUGUAGCGGUGAAAUGCGUAGAGAUCUGGAGGAAUACCGGUGGCGAAGGCGGCCCCUGGACAAAAGACUGACGCUCAGGCACGAAAGCGUGGGGAGCAAACAGGAUUAGAUACCCUGGUAGACAU
rnacentral:rRNA from 1 species